ensembl:snoRNA small nucleolar RNA SNORD67
UGUGAGGGUGAUGAGUUGCACUAAUCAGUUGGAGUGUUGGUUGCAGUGGCAUCGACGCUCCAAUCCGACUCAGCCUGAGGACACGCGACGUGCACAGGGGCCAUCUGACUCAAC